rnacentral:rRNA from 1 species
UACAGAGGGGGCAAGCGUUAUUCGGAAUUAUUGGGCGUAAAGGGCGCGUAGGCGGCCUGACAAGUGGAAGGUGAAAUCCCUCGGCUUAACCGAGGAACUGCCCUCCAAACUGUUUGGCUUGAGACCGGGAGAGGUGAGUGGAAUUCCCAGUGUAGCGGUGAAAUGCGUAGAUAUUGGGAGGAACACCGGUGGCGAAGGCGGCUCACUGGCCCGAUACUGACGCUGAGGCACGAAAGCGUGGGGAGCAAACAGG